rnacentral:rRNA from 1 species
ACAGGGAUUGCCUUAGUAACGGCGAGUGAAGCGGCAAUAGCUCAAAUUUGAAAUCUGGCGCUUGCGUCCGAGUUGUAAUUUGUAGAGGAUGAUUUUGGUUAGGUACCUUUCGAGUUCCUUGGAACAGGACGCCUUAGAGGGUGAGAGCCCCGUACGAUUGGAUGCCGAGCCUCUGUAAAUCUCCUUCGACGAGUCGAGUAGUUUGGGAAUGCUGCUCUAAAUGGGAGGUAAAUUUCUUCUAAAGCUAAAUACCGGCCAGAGACCGAUAGCGCACAAGUAGAGUGAUCGAAAGAUGAAAAGCACUUUGAAAAGAGGGUUAAAUAGCACGUGAAAUUGUUGAAAGGGAAGGAUUUAUGACCAGACUUUUUCUAGGAGAAUCAUCCGGUGUUCUCACCGGUGCACUUCUUUUAGUUUAGGCCAGCAUCGACUUUCGGCGGUGGAUAAAAGCUUUAGGAAUGUGGCUUCUCUCGGGAAGUGUUAUAGCCUAUUGUAUAAUACACUGCUGGGGGUCGAGGUACGCGCUUCUGCAAGGAUGCUGGCGUAAUGGUUAUCAAUCACCCGUCUUGAAACACGGACCAAGGAGUCGAACAUUUGUGCGAGUGUUUGGGUGUUAAACCCUCACGCGUAAUGAAAGUGAACGGAGGUGAGAGCCCUUACGGGUGCAUCAUCGACCGAUCCUGAUGUUUUCGGAUGGAUUUGAGUAAGAGCAUAAAUGUUCGGACCCGAAAGAUGGUGAACUAUGCGUGGAUAGGGUGAAGCCAGAGGAAACUCUGGUGGAGGCUCGCAGCGGUUCUGACGUGCAAAUCGAUCGUCAAAUCUGCGCAUGGGGGCGAAAGACUAAUCGAACC